rnacentral:rRNA from 1 species
UCCUGGCUCAGAUUGAACGCUGGCGGCAUGCCUUACACAUGCAAGUCGAACGGCAGCACGGGUGCUUGCACCUGGUGGCGAGUGGCGAACGGGUGAGUAAUAUAUCGGAACGUACCCUAGAGUGGGGGAUAACGUAGCGAAAGUUACGCUAAUACCGCAUACGAUCUACGGAUGAAAGUGGGGGAUCGCAAGACCUCAUGCUCAUGGAGCGGCCGAUAUCUGAUUAGCUAGUUGGUGGGGUAAAAGCCUACCAAGGCGACGAUCAGUAGCUGGUCUGAGAGGACGACCAGCCACACUGGAACUGAGACACGGCCCAGACUCCUACGGGAGGCAGCAGUGGGGAAUUUUGGACAAUGGGGGCAACCCUGAUCCAGCAAUGCCGCGUGAGUGAAGAAGGCCUUCGGGUUGUAAAGCUCUUUUGUCAGGGAAGAAACGGGAUUUUCUAAUACAAAGUCCUAAUGACGGUACCUGAAGAAUAAGCACCGGCUAACUACGUGCCAGCAGCCGCGGUAAUACGUAGGGUGCAAGCGUUAAUCGGAAUUACUGGGCGUAAAGCGUGCGCAGGCGGUUGUGCAAGACAGAUGUGAAAUCCCCGGGCUCAACCUGGGAAUUGCAUUUGUGACUGCACGGCUAGAGUGUGUCAGAGGGGGGUAGAAUUCCACGUGUAGCAGUGAAAUGCGUAGAGAUGUGGAGGAAUACCGAUGGCGAAGGCAGCCCCCUGGGAUAACACUGACGCUCAUGCACGAAAGCGUGGGGAGCAAACAGGAUUAGAUACCCUGGUAGUCCACGCCCUAAACGAUGUCUACUAGUUGUCGGGUCUUAAUUGACUUGGUAACGCAGCUAACGCGUGAAGUAGACCGCCUGGGGAGUACGGUCGCAAGAUUAAAACUCAAAGGAAUUGACGGGGACCCGCACAAGCGGUGGAUGAUGUGGAUUAAUUCGAUGCAACGCGAAAAACCUUACCUACCCUUGACAUGUACGGAACUUACCAGAGAUGGUUUGGUGCUCGAAAGAGAACCGUAACACAGGUGCUGCAUGGCUGUCGUCAGCUCGUGUCGUGAGAUGUUGGGUUAAGUCCCGCAACGAGCGCAACCCUUGUCAUUAGUUGCUACGAAAGGGCACUCUAAUGAGACUGCCGGUGACAAACCGGAGGAAGGUGGGGAUGACGUCAAGUCCUCAUGGCCCUUAUGGGUAGGGCUUCACACGUCAUACAAUGGUACAUACAGAGGGCCGCCAACCCGCGAGGGGGAGCUAAUCCCAGAAAGUGUAUCGUAGUCCGGAUUGUAGUCUGCAACUCGACUACAUGAAGUUGGAAUCGCUAGUAAUCGCGGAUCAGCAUGUCGCGGUGAAUACGUUCCCGGGUCUUGUACACACCGCCCGUCACACCAUGGGAGCGGGUUUCACCAGAAGUAGGUAGCCUAACCGCAAGGAGGGCGCUUACCACGGUGGGAUUCGUGACUGGGGUGAAGUCGUAACAAGGUA